rnacentral:lncRNA from 1 species
GAGUCUCUGUCGGAGAGUUUAGAGAGGGAGGUUAAGAUCUUGUGUUUGAGUUCUACCAUUUGUAAAUGGGUUGAUACUGAUGAAGAUCUUGAAGGUGUUGGUUGGUUUUGAGGUUUUGCAUUCUUCAUUUUGGAAUUAUGGGUGGAAAAGGUGAAUGGAGGAAGAGAUAGUGGGAGAGAGGUGAGGUUGGUGGAUUUGG